GAGAGGAACUUGUUCCUCGAGUCGUUGAUUUCACACUGCCGAGAAAAGCCUCUAGCUAGAAUAACGGUGCCCGUACCGCAAACCGACACAGGUAGUCAAGAUGAGAAUUCUAAGGUGAGCGAGCGAACUCUCGUUAAGGAACUCGGCAAAAUGACCCCGUAACUUCGGGAGAAGGGGUGCUCUUUGAGGUUCACGCUUCGAAGAGCCGCAGUGAAUAGGCCCAAGCGACUGUUUAUCAAAAACACAGGUCUCUGCUAAACCGUAAGGUGACGUAUAGGGGCUGACGCCUGCCCGGUGCUGGAAGGUUAAGAGGAGUGGUUAGCGCAAGCGAAGCUACGAAUCGAAGCCCCAGUAAACGGCGGCCGUAACUAUAACGGUCCUAAGGUAGCGAAAUUCCUUGUCGGGUAAGUUCCGACCCGCACGAAAGGCGUAACGAUUUGGGCACUGUCUCAACGAGAGACUCGGUGAAAUCAUAGUACCGGUGAAGAUGC
rnacentral:rRNA from 1 species